CCCUGGUUGAUCCUGCCAGUAGUUAUAUGCUUGUCUCAAAGAUUAAGCCAUGCAUGUCUCAGUGCAAGCCGUAUUAAGGCGAUACCGCGAAUGGCUCAAUAUAUCAGUUUUGGUUCCUUAGAUCUUACUCAGUUACUUGGAUAACUGUGGUAAUUCUAGAGCUAAUACAUGCAAUCAGAACUCUGACCAGUGAUGGGAUGAGUGCUUUUAUUAGAUCAAAACCAAUCGACGGAUGGCCAUGUGUCUGAAGUCGUUAAUUUUGAUGAAUCUGGAUAACUUUUGCCGAUCGCAUGGUCCAGUACCGGCGACGCAUCUUUCAAAUGUCUGCCUUAUCAACUUUCGAUGGUAGUUUCUGCGACUACCAUGGUUGUCACGGGUAACGGGGAAUCAGGGUUCGAUUCCGGAGAGGGAGCCUGAGAAACGGCUACCACAUCCAAGGAAGGCAGCAGGCGCGCAAAUUACCCACUCCCGGCACGGGGAGGUAGUGACGAAAAAUAACGAUACGGGACUCUUACGAGGCCUCGUAAUCGGAAUGAGUACACUUUAAAUAUUUUAACGAGGAACAAUUGGAGGGCAAGUCUGGUGCCAGCAGCCGCGGUAAUUCCAGCUCCAAUAGCGUAUACUAAAAUUGUUGCGGUUAAAAAGCUCGUAGUUGCAUUUGUGCGCCGCGCUGUCGGUGCACCGCAUCCGCGGUGAUACUGACACGUCUGCGGAGCAUAUCGUCGGUGAGCCGGCGGUAAUACGCCGGUUCAAUAUCAAAAUCCUAUCGCGGUGCUCUUCGGUGAGUGUCGAGGUGGGCCGACAAUUUUACUUUGAACAAAUUAGAGUGCUCAAAGCGGGCUCAAAAUGCUGCUUGAAUAUUUCGUGCAUGGAAUAAUAGAAUAUGAUCUCGGUUCUAUUUUGUUGGUUUUCAGAACUCCGAGGUAAUGAUUAAUAGGGAUAACUGGGGGCAUUCGUAUUGCGACGUUAGAGGUGAAAUUCUUGGAUCGUCGCAAGACGAACAUCAGCGAAAGCAUUUGCCAAAGGUGUUUUCAUCAAUCAAGAACGAAAGUUAGAGGUUCGAAGGCGAUUAGAUACCGCCCUAGUUCUAACCGUAAAUAUGUCAUCUAGCGAUCCGCCGACGUUACUACAAUGGCUCGGCGGGCAGCUUCCGGGAAACCAAAGAUUUUGGACUCCGGGGGGAGUAUGGUUGCAAAGCUGAAACUUAAAGGAAUUGACGGAAGGGCACCACCAGGAGUGGAGCCUGCGGCUUAAUUUGACUCAACACGGGAAAUCUCACCAGGCCCGGACACCGGAAGGAUUGACAGAUUAACAGCUCUUUCUUGAUUCGGUGGGUGGUGGUGCAUGGCCGUUCUUAGUUGGUGGAGCGAUUUGUCUGGUUAAUUCCGGUAACGAACGAGACUCUAGCCUGCUAAAUAGGCGUCGUCAUUUAGUUAGGGACCGAGUGGGCUGAUCGCAUCGCCAUGGUUUACAUCUCAAUCGAAAAGACAAAAUAUUAUACUUUCGAGGAUGCUUUGAGUUUGAACUCAUAGGGAUAACAUUAAAUAAUCGAUUAAACAUAUUUUCUAUCUUAUCCUUUACAAGCAAUGAAAAAGGUCUGUUUUCAAUUAUACAGGUUUUCAAUUUUACAACAACGUUUCUUCCAACGUUGGAUUCGCCUAAAGUAAGCCACGAACAGUUAAAUUAUUUGUUUAAUGAUAAUAACCAUUAGCAUGACACAGUGUCAAAAGCCGUGAAAUUGUAAUAAAAAUUGAAGCACGGCAAUAACAUAU
rnacentral:rRNA from 1 species